rnacentral:rRNA from 1 species
CCUACGGGAGGCAGCAGUGGGGAAUUUUGGUACAAUGGGCGGCAAGCCUGAUCCAGCAAUGCCGCGUGAGUGAAGAAGGCCUUCGGGUUGUAAAGCUCUUUUGUCAGGGAAGAAACGGUCUACUCUAAUACAGUGGGCUAAUGACGGUACCUGAAGAAUAAGCACCGGCUAACUACGUGCCAGCAGCCGCGGUAAUACGUAGGGUGCAAGCGUUAAUCGGAAUUACUGGGCGUAAAGCGUGCGCAGGCGGUUAUAUAAGUCAGAUGUGAAAUCCCCGGGCUCAACCUGGGAACUGCAUUUGAGACUGUAUGGCUAGAGUGUGUCAGAGGGGGGUAGAAUUCCACGUGUAGCAGUGAAAUGCGUAGAUAUGUGGAGGAAUACCGAUGGCGAAGGCAGCCCCCUGGGAUAACACUGACGCUCAUGCACGAAAGCGUGGGGAGCAAACAGGAUUAGAUACCCUGGUAGUCCACGCCCUAAACGAUGUCUACUAGUUGUCGGGACUUAAUGUNUGUAGNAGNACGACGNGAGAGACGCCGCGGGUAAGGUAGGUCGCGAGAAGUUAAAACUUAAACUAAGUUAAGUUAGUUAGGACGGNGNGAGAGCGACGACGACGACGACGGAGGAGGAGG